GACGUAGGGCGCGAGCGUUGUCCGGAUUUAUUGGGCGUAAAGAGCUCGUAGGCGGCUUGUCGCGUCGACUGUGAAAUCCCGCGGCUCAACUGCGGGUCUGCAGUCGAUACGGGCAGGCUUGAGUUCGGUAGGGGAGACUGGAAUUCCUGGUGUAGCGGUGAAAUGCGCAGAUAUCAGGAGGAACACCAACGGCGAAGGCAGCUCGCUGGGACGGUACUGACGCUGAGGCGCGAAAGCGUGGGGAGCGAACAGG
rnacentral:rRNA from 1 species